GACAGAGGGUGCAAACGUUGUUCGGAUUUACUGGGCGUAAAGCGCGUGUAGGCGGCUUUGCAAGUCGGAUGUGAAAUCCCACGGCUCAACCGUGGAAGUGCAUCCGAAACUGCAUCGCUGGAGUCUCGGAGAGGAAGGUGGAAUGCUUGGUGUAGAGGUGAAAUUCGUAGAUAUCAAGCAGAACACCUGCGGCGAAGGCGGCCUUCUGGACGAUGACUGACGCUGAGACGCGAAGCGUGGGGAGCAAACAGG
rnacentral:rRNA from 1 species